rnacentral:rRNA from 1 species
AUGGCGGGCAUGGUGUUCGGCUUGGAGAACCCGAUGAUGACGGCGCUCCAGCACCUGCUGGACAUCCCAGAUGGCGAGGCCGGCGGAGCCGGUGCCGGCCGCGGCGAGAAGCAGGGCCCGACGCGCGCCUACGUCCGGGAUGCGCGCGCCAUGGCGGCCACCCCGGCGGACGUGAAGGAGCUGCCGGGCGCGUACGCGUUCGUGGUGGACAUGCCGGGGCUGGGUUCCGGCGACAUCAAGGUGCAGGUGGAGGACGAGCGGGUGCUGGUGAUCAGCGGCGAGCGGAGCAGGGAGGAGGAGGAGGACGCCAAGUACCUGCGGAUGGAGCGCCGCAUGGGCAAGCUGAUGCGCAAGUUCGUGCUCCCCGAGAACGCCGACAUGGAGAAGAUCUCCGCCGCGUGCCGCGACGGCGUGCUGACCGUCACCGUCGAGAAGCUGCCGCCGCCCGAGCCCAAGAAGCCCAAGACCAUCCAGGUCCAGGUUGCCUGA